rnacentral:misc_RNA from 1 species
AUGAAGAACGUAGCGAAAUGCGAUAAGUAAUGUGAAUUGCAGAAUUCAGUGAAUCAUCGAAUCUUUGAACGCACAUUGCGCCCGCCAGUAUUCUGGCGGGCAUGCCUGUCCGAGCGUCAUUUCAACCCUCGAACCCCUCCGGGGGGUCGGCGUUGGGGAUCGGCCCCUCACCGGGCCGCCCCCGAAAUCCAGUGGCGGUCUCGCCGCAGCCUCUCCUGCGCAGUAGUUUGCACACUCGCACCGGGAGCGCGGCGCGGCCACAGCCGUAAAACACCCCAAACUCUGAAAUGUUGACCUCGGAUCAGGUAGGAAUACCCGCUGAACUUAAGCAUAUCAAUAAGCGGAGGA